rnacentral:rRNA from 1 species
GCCUGCCCAGUGACCAUGUGUUCAACGGCCGCGGUAUUCUGACCGCGCGAAGGUAGCGUAAUCACUUGUCUUCUAAAUAAAGACUAGUAUGAACGGCCACACGAAGACUUAACUGUCUCCCCUGUCCAAUCAGUGAAACUGAUCUCCUUGUGCAGAAGCGAGGAUAAACCCAUAAGACGAGAAGACCCUAUGGAGCUUUAAACUUAAUAUUAACUAUUUCUAUAAUCCCCUCUAAGGAAUUAACAAAUAACUCUUUUCAACUUAAUAUUAGUUUUAGGUUGGGGCGACCAUGGAGAAAAAAAUAUCCUCCCUGAUGACUUUUAAACCAAGAGCCACAGCUCUAAGUAUUAAGAUACUUAACUUCCAUUGACCCAUUUUAUGAUCAACGAACCAAGUUACCCUAGGGAUAACAGCGCAAUCCAUUUCAAGAGUCCCUAUCGACAAAUGGGUUUACGACCUCGAUGUUGGAUCAGGGCAUCCCAGUGGUGCAACCGCUACUAAUGGUUCGUUUGUUCAACGAUUAAAGCCCU